AGGAAAGUGUUAUUAUUUCAGCACCUGAUGAGCUCAACUGGACUGAGAGCAGAAGUUUCUGCAGAGAUGUUGGAGGAGACCUGGUGAAGAUCGACAGCAGAGAGGAGCAGGAGUUUCUGGUGAGAAGACUGAGAGACAAGAUGAUCAGUAUUGAAGACUGGUUCUGGAUCGGACUGACGGACUUGGAGACAGAAGGCAGCUGGUUGUGGGUGGACGGAUCUCCUCUGAAUGAAAGUUUGAGUUUUUGGUCUUCUGGACAACUAGAUGCAUGGAAUGAAAAUGAAGAAGAUGAAGACUGUGUGCAGAUGGUGAUAGAAAAAGUAUCUGUUGAUCAUAAGACCUGGAAUUAUUAUGGCUGCAAUGAUACUGCAUUUAGUGUCUGUGAGAAACCGCCAGGAUCUGCUCAGAGCUCAUGUGUGUGAAGUUCAGUGUGCAAAACAAUCUCAGUCCAGGAUCCAGAAGCAGCAGCCAGGCUGCUAUCAGGAACUUCAUGUCACAAACAGUUAUAUUUUCAGAUCUUCCA